GAUGAACGCUGGCGGCGUGCCUAAUACAUGCAAGUCGAGCGAACAGACGAGGAGCUUGCUCCUCUGACGUUAGCGGCGGACGGGUGAGUAACACGUGGAUAACCUACCUAUAAGACUGGGAUAACUUCGGGAAACCGGAGCUAAUACCGGAUAAUAUAUUGAACCGCAUGGUUCAAUAGUGAAAGACGGUUUUGCUGUCACUUGUAGAUGGAUCCGCGCCGCAUUAGCUAGUUGGUAAGGUAACGGCUUACCAAGGCGACGAUGCGUAGCCGACCUGAGAGGGUGAUCGGCCACACUGGAACUGAGGCACGGUCCAGACUCCUACGGGAGGCAGCAGUAGGGAAUCUUCCGCAAUGGGCGAAAGCCUGACGGAGCAACGCCGCGUGAGUGAUGAAGGUCUUCGGAUCGUAAAACUCUGUUAUUAGGGAAGAACAAAUGUGUAAGUAACUAUGCACGUCUUGACGGUACCUAAUCAGAAAGCCACGGCUAACUACGUG
rnacentral:rRNA from 1 species